rnacentral:rRNA from 1 species
UCGGGAAUUUUGGGCAAUGGGCGAAAGCCUGACCCAGCAACGCCGCGUGAAGGAUGAAGUAUUUCGGUAUGUAAACUUCGAAAGAAUAGGAAGAAUAAAUGACGGUACUAUUUAUAAGGUCCGGCUAACUACGUGCCAGCAGCCGCGGUAAUACGGAGGGUGCAAGCAUUGAUCGGAAUUACUGGGCGUAAAGGGCGCGUAGGCGGCUCGAUAAGUCGGAUGUGAAAUUCCGGGGCUCAACCCCGGAGCGGCAUUUGAAACUGUCGAACUAGAGUACAGUUAGGGUAAACGGAAUUCCACGUGUAGCGGUGAAAUGCGUAGAUAUGUGGAAGAACACCGGUGGUGAAGACGGUUUACUGGGCUGUAACUGACGCUGAGGCGCGAAAGCAUGGGGAGCAAACAGGAUUAGAUACCCCUGUAGUCCCUGAGCGGGCUGGCAAGGCGCAU